rnacentral:rRNA from 1 species
AGUGUACAAGAUAGACCCGCAUGUCUAAGUAUAAAUAACUACACACUAAAACUGCCAAUGGCUCAUUACAACUGUUAUAGUUUAUUUGAUAUAACAAAUGGAUAGCUGUACAAAAACUAGAGCUAAUACAUGCCAUAACCGUAAGGUUGUAUUUAUUAGGUAUUCCUGGUAGGUGAUUCAUAAUAACUCAGCGAAUCGUGACUUGUUCACGAUAAAUCAUUCCCGUUUCUGCCCUAUCAUGCUUUCGAUGGUAGUGUAUUGGACUACCAUGGCUCUCACGGGUAACGGAGAAUUGGGGUUCGAUUCCGGAGAAGGAGCCUGAGAAACGGCUACUACAUCUACCGAACGCAUCACGCGCGUCCCUUACCCACUCCUGACUCAGGGAGGUAGUGACAAGAUAUAACAACGUGAAGUGAACUUCUCGAUUGUACUGAGGUUAUUCCUAACCGAACUUCACCUACGAUUGGAGGACAAGUCUUGGGGCCCACACCCGCGGUAAU